UACGAAGGGGGCUAGCGUUGCUCGGAAUCACUGGGCGUAAAGCGCACGUAGGCGGACUCUUAAGUCGGUGGUGAAAUCCUGGAGCUCAACUCCAGAACUGCCUUCGAUACUGGGAGUCUCGAGUCCGGGAGAGGUGAGUGGAACUGCGAGUGUAGAGGUGAAAUUCGUAGAUAUUCGGAAGAACACCAGUGGCGAAGGCGGCUCACUGGCCCGGUACUGACGCUGAGGCGCGAAAGCUAGGGGAGCAAACAGG
rnacentral:rRNA from 1 species